AAAGGAAGGACACAGAGAUGCUCCAGUGGCUGCAGCAAAAAAAAGAGACAGAGUCUGACAGCACUUAAAACUGAACAAAGCACUCAUUAAAAGGAAGCCACUAUCAUUAUGAUGAAGAUGAAGAAGCCUAUAAGCAUUGGACUCCAGCUCAGACAGGCUCCUCCACACUCCUGGGGCUUGUCUAAGGCUCUCUCUCCUUACUCUGAUCAACUGCAUCUAGCUUCUCUCACCAUAUCUAAGCACCUGUCCUGAUGGAGCUCACACUGGCCACCUACCCCUCAGCCAACAAUCUUGCAGAGAAAGGCAACUGAACUUCUUAGCCUCUCUCUGAUUCAUGUGUCCUCUCCAUCCUGUUGGCCUAAUUUCACUUCAGCCUUAAAACACUUCUGUUACGGUAAGUCUCCCCAUUACAUCCAUUUUAAGUCUCCCAAUAUCCUGAGCUCAGACUCUACUCCUUCAGCUUCCUUCCACGGCCAGCUUCCCAAAACACAGUCAUGUUAUCCCUGCUUAAAGACUUCUUGUGCGGGCCAGGGAGGUGGCUCAAUAGGUAAAUGCCACCAAAUCUAACAACUUGAGUUUGAUUCCCAGGAUCAACAUGGUAGAAAGAACCAGCUCAUACAAGCAAUCUCUCUCUAGAGAGAGAGAGAAUAUAUAUAAUAAAAUUUUUUUAUUAACUUCACUGUGAACAACAAUAACCCCUCCUUUGAUGCAUGCCAAAGCUCUCCCCUUCUGGCUGCUUGGAUCUACUUCAAGCCCUUUGCCCUGCAAAUAAAAAAAGAGUAUCACCCGGACCCCACUCUUCAUCCAUCACUACUUAGGUCAAUAGUCAUCUCCUUCCUGAAAUUCCCCAGCUUCUCCCUGGAGAGCCUGUUAUUUCCUUUCUGCCCUUGUAUAGACACCUUGGACAAAGUUUUGUUACAGCACCACACUUUACUGAAAAUACUGCCUACCAUCUUCUGUCCAACCUCCCCCUAAGAGGAGGAGGACCCCAAAGUGUCUAAGCACUGAGCACAGUGCCUUACCAGAGAGGGACAUAAUAGUCAAAAGUUAUUGUGCCAGCCGGGCUCCGGGCAUAAGAUCAGGGCCAGCCCAUAAAAGCAGAGCUGGAGAGCUGACUCAGAGGUUAAGACAGCAAUGUGCAACCGCAAAGGCCUAAGUUCAGGCUCGAGUACCCACUAGCAAGCUCAGCACUGUGAGGGAGAAGACAGUAUUGUCGGUGUUUGCUGGCUGCUUCAAGAGGCCCAUAGUGAGACUCUGUCUCAAACAAACAAACAAAACAAACAAAGGAAUAGAGUGUUAGAGAAAGCUUCCUUCUUUGACCUCCAGGGAUGUGCACAGGGACACACACUCAGACACAUAUGUGCAGAUAUCACACCACAUUCACACAUACC
ensembl:antisense Gm15624 predicted gene 15624